rnacentral:lncRNA from 1 species
GGGGCUCGUGGGGAGUGGGAGGAAGCUGGGGAGAAGAUGAGUUGAGAGCAGUCCAGUGUGAGGGAAAGUGGGGAUCCUGGGCCAACUUACCAUUAAGAGGGUCCAGUCCUGUGACUGCUGUGAAGUAACCAGGAUUCCACAUAGAGAUGGGGCUCAAAGUCAGCCCAGGAGCAGCACUGUGGUCCCAGAACUAAUAUUUGGCGACUCCAAGGCCAGGGAUAAAAAUGAAGAGAUGGAGAGACAAGAUUUCCUGGCCUCUAAUUGGCAGCACCCGUUGACUCUGCUCGUGACCAGACUCAUGAACGCUUCAUCCAAGGUUUCAUGUCAUCCGUGUGAGGAACCUCUCUGAUUUGAGAAAAUCUUUCUUAAAAUGGGCUUCUAGUUGUAAAGCCAUUGUCUUUUUAGGAAAUCAUCAAAUACCUUAAAGCUAGACACGCAAUCAGCUGCAUAAAUGACACACUCACUAAAUCAAUCCUUUAUCAGGUGGUCCUUCAAGGAUUUCUUGGUUUUGGGUUUUGAAAUGUGUAAGGUUUGCUGCUAGCAACUCCACAUUUUUUUAUUCACUCACAAAGACACAUGGUCAUAAAUAAAAUGCAUGGAACCAGCGAGACAAUAGCACAGCAGUAAUGUCAUUUUAUAUGCAGCAUGGCCCUGUUGUGAACGGAAUGAUUGUGAACGGAAUGAUGGCCAAGGAGCUUUAUGCUUCUGCACCGCCAGCUCACACGAUGGUCCGUGUAUUGCCCCGUGGAAAACCGGGGGUGGAAAGCUGUCUCCACGUUCUGCUGCCGAAGCAGCAAGCUGAUUCACACAUCUUGAAGGCACAGUGGAACAUGGAAGGGUGCAUAUGAGACUUGAUUUUGAGGAUGAAACUUCCUGUCUGAAUCGCUAAGUCUCCCAGCAGGGGUGUUAAUGUCCCUGUGAGAUGCAGGCUUCCCACAGACACACCCAGGUUGCGAGUGGGUUCAACAUGGUCACAGGAGCUUCAAAUGGUAAGAUGGCAAGAUCUGGUAGCAUACUGAGACCACCAACCAGGAAUGGAGGCUUGCUCCCAAGUAACUAAACAUGGACUUGUCUCUGACACGGAAACAAUGUGAAACACAGAAGGCUUUUGAGACUCAGAGGCACUCCAACAAUGAUACUUGAAAACCAGAACAGAGUUUGACACAGAUGGAUGCUUUCCAAAUGUCAUGUCAUUUUUUCAUAUGUCAAGGGCGACCCAAUGUUUGCUUCCUGUUCCCUAGGUGGGUUUUCCAUGGGGACUGCUUCUAACCCCCAAUCCCCACACACUCCACCUGGGCUGAAACUGCUGCCUCUUUUCCAAUAUAUAGAAAGAAAUGUGGCUCCACCCUGCAUUUCCGUAAGACUCAGCUAGUUACAAAUUUAGAACCUUGGAAACAAUGAUAAAAC